rnacentral:rRNA from 1 species
AUUGAACGCUGGCGGCAUGCCUUACACAUGCAAGUCGAACGGCAGCGGGCCUUCGGGUGCCGGCGAGUGGCGAACGGGUGAGUAAUGCAUCGGAACGUGCCAUUGAGUGGGGGAUAACGUAGCGAAAGUUGCGCUAAUACCGCAUAUUCUGUGAGCAGGAAAGCAGGGGACCGCAAGGCCUUGCGCUCUUUGAGCGGCCGAUGUCAGAUUAGCUAGUUGGUGAGGUAAAGGCUUACCAAGGCGACGAUCUGUAGCGGGUCUGAGAGGAUGAUCCGCCACACUGGAACUGAGACACGGUCCAGACUCUUACGGGAGGCAGCAGUGGGGAAUUUUGGACAAUGGGGGCAACCCUGAUCCAGCCAUGCCGCGUGAGUGAAGAAGGCCUCGGUUGUAAGCUCUUUCGGCCGGGAAGAAACGUACGACGAUGGGUGAAUACCCUGUGUGGAUGACGGUACCGGAACGAAGAAGACACCGGCUAAC